rnacentral:lncRNA from 1 species
AUCAAUAGAAGAUAAAAAAAUUUACAAGACAAAAAUUUAUGAUCACAAAGGAAGAUUGCACUUCGCUAAUACAGGUACAUAAAAAAAUAACACAUCAUCGAAGAAGAUUAAAAAAAAAAUUUACAAGACAAAACUUCACCAACACUAUAUUAUCGAAUAGAAUUUUCCAGCAGAGGAUCAAAAUUUGAAGGAAAAUUCAGAUGUGAAAAUGGUCAAAAACAAUAACACAGAUAGGCCAUAUGCGGAUGGCAAUAGUAGCUCUCCCCCAAUAUGGCAUUUAGGAUGCGUUUGGCAUCCCGCAUUACAUAGCAUUACCAUGAUACCAUCCUGUAUAGCAUUAAAUUAAUACAACCCUAUGUUUGGCUAAAAACUGACUUCGUAUUAUACCGCAUAACAUUACUGUUGUUAUACAGUUAAAGCUGCAUUAACUAAACCCGUGGGGGGUAUCGGGUUUACGCGUGAUUGCUUAUAAAGAAAGGGAAAAAAAAAAGAGUAAUAGUUUUUCUUCUUCAAAAUACGAUUAAGACACAAAACACAUCUUCUCUUUGCUUCCAUUCUCUUCUCAAAACCCAAUCUAUCGCCGACACCGGCUCAGCCAUAACAUUUAUCACCGACACUAGCACGGCAACAGCCACUUUGAGUACUCGAUGCUGUCAAUGCCGUCAAGUUCUCCCGCGCGGCACCCCUACUCCACCAUCUCUAUGCCGCGGGUCCGCAGCCACUGCACGAUAUCACAACAAAUUCAUAUUAGCAUUUUUGCCUUUAUCCAUAACUUGAGUGUUUUAAAUUAUAAAAGCCAUUUUUUAAAAAAGAUAAAAAAAGAAAAAUCAGACCCCUGUGACAGUGUUACUUAUUCUUUUUUGCUUAUUUUCUUUUUUCUUUUCUUCUUCGGAAGAAAAGGAUUUAAAGGGAGGAAAAAGGAUUUAUCGACAAAAUAAAUAAAUAAAUAAAUGAAGGAUGCAAAGAACCGAAAAAAAAAAUUGUGGAAUGAUAACAAGGGAGAAAAAAGAAACAGAGGAAGAAAAGAACAGAGAAGAAAUUAAAGAGGGUUGCAGGUUGAAGAUUGAAGAUUUUGUCCUGUAAAAGAGGGAGAUAAAGAGAUAAAGAUGACGUGUCAAUGCAUAGAC